CCUUCCUUCCUCCCUGAAAUCUCAGAGGACAUGAAGUUGCUUCUCCCCCUGGAAUUGUCUGGAAUUGUUCCCCCUCCCUCUUCUCUUGAAGCCAGAAGAGGGCAUUGGAACUCCUGGGACUGGAAUUACAGAUGGUUCUGAGUUACUGUGUGAGUGUUGGAAAUCAAACCCAGCCUGCUGGAAGAACAACCAGUGCUCUUAACCACUGAGCCAUCUUCAGUAGACGAUUUCUUUAACCUGACACUAAAAAUGAGUUAAAAGUUAAAACAACCUGCCACAAUGCUGAGCAAUGGAGAGGAUUGGGUGGGACAUCCUUGUCCAGAGUGGGAGGAAGACGAAAGAAGAGAGUGGAAAGAGAGGAGGAGAAUCCAGAGGAGAGGUCUUGGAAUCAUGUGGAGAAAUGAACCA